rnacentral:rRNA from 1 species
ACACCGGCGGCCCGAGUGGUGAUCGGGAUUAUUGGGUCUAAAGGGUCCGUAGCCGGUUUGGUCAGUCCUCCGGGAAAUCUGAUAGCUCAACUAUUAGGCUUUCGGGGGAUACUGCCAGACUUGGAACCGGGAGAGGUAAGAGGUACUACAGGGGUAGGGUGGAAAUCUUGUAAUCCCUGUGGGACCGCCUGUGGCGAAGGCGUCUUACCAGAACGGGUUCGACGGUGAGGGACGAAAGCUGGGGGCACGAACCGGAUUAGAUACCCGGGUAGUCCCAGCCGUAAACGAUGCUCGCUAGGUGUCAGGCAUGGCGCGACCGUGUCUGGUGCCGCAGGGAAGCCGUGAAGCGAGCCACCUGGGAAGUACGGCCGCAAGGCUGAAACUUAAAGGAAUUGACGGGG